rnacentral:snRNA from 1 species
UCUCCGCGGUAUACCGUGGGUU